GAUGAACGCUGGCGGCGUGCCUAAUACAUGCAAGUAGAACGCUGAAGCUUGGUGCUUGCACCGAGCGGAUGAGUUGCGAACGGGUGAGUAACGCGUAGGUAACCUGCCUCUUAGCGGGGGAUAACUAUUGGAAACGAUAGCUAAUACCGCAUAAAAGUCGAUAUCGCAUGAUAUUGAUUUGAAAGGUGCAAUUGCAUCACUAAGAGAUGGACCUGCGUUGUAUUAGCUAGUUGGUGAGGUAACGGCUCACCAAGGCGACGAUACAUAGCCGACCUGAGAGGGUGAUCGGCCACACUGGGACUGAGACACGGCCCAGACUCCUACGGGAGGCAGCAGUAGGGAAUCUUCGGCAACGGGGGCAACCCUGACCGAGCAACGCCGCGUGAGUGAAGAAGGUUUUCGGAUCGUAAAGCUCUGUUGUAAGAGAAGAACGAGUGUGAGAGUGGAAAGUUCACGCUGUGAC
rnacentral:rRNA from 1 species